rnacentral:rRNA from 1 species
GAUUUCGAUCCUCCCUCAGAACAAACGCGGUCGGCGUGGUUAACACAUGCAAGUUGACCGGAAAUGGCCCUUGAGGGUACUCGAAAGGCGAACGAGUUGAGUAUACACGUGGGGGAUAUGCCCUCCGACUAUGGGAUAAGCUUGGGAAUCUGUGUUUAAUGCCAGAUCGGACCGCAUGCUUCAUGGUGUGUGUCGCAAAGCUCUUGCUCUGUGGGAUGAGCCCGCGACCUAUCAGCUCGUUGGUGGGGUAAUGCCCUACCAAGUGCGACGACGGGUAUCCGGCCUGAGAGGGUGACCGCCCACACUGGGAUUGAGAUACGGCCCACACUCGUACGGGAGGCAGCAGUGGGGAAUAUUGCACAAUGGCCGCAAGCCUGAUGCAGCGACGUCGCGUGAGGGAUGACGGCCUUCGGGUUGUAAACCUCUUUCAGUAGGGACGAAGCGAAAGUGACGGUACCUACAGAAGAAGGACCGGCCAACUACGUGCCAGCAGCCGCGGUAAUACGUAGGGUCCGAGCGUUGUCUGGAAUUACUGGGCGUAAAGAGCUCGUAGGUGGUUUGUCGCAUUGUUCGUGAAAACUCACAGCUUAACUGUGGGCGUGCGGGCGAUACGGGCAGACUAGAGUACUGCAGGGGAGACUGGAAUUCCUGGUGUAGCGGUGGAAUGCGCAGAUAUCAGGAGGAACACCGCGUGGCGAAGGCGGGUCUCUGGGCAGUAACUGACGCUGAGGAGCGAAAGCGUGGGGAGCAAACAGGAUUUAGAUACCCUGGUAGUCCACGCCGUAAACGAUGUCAACCAGCCGUUGGGUUCCUUGAGAACUUAGUGGCGCAGCUAACGCAUUAAGUUGACCGCCUGGGGAGUACGGCCGCAAGGUUAAAACUCAAAUGAAUUGACGGGGGCCCGCACAAGCGGUGGAGCAUGUGGUUUAAUUCGAAGCAACGCGAAGAACCUUACCUGGCCUUGACAUGCUGAGAACUUUCCAGAGAUGGAUUGGUGCCUUCGGGAACUCAGACACAGGUGCUGCAUGGCUGUCGUCAGCUCGUGUCGUGAGAGGGUGGGUUAAGUCCCGCAACGAGCGCAACCCUGGUCAUUAGUUCCCAGCAGGUAACGGUGGUCACUUUAAGGAGACAGCCGCCCACAAACAAGAGGAAGGUGGGGAGGAUGUUAACUCAUCACGAGCGCUACGCCCAGCGCUACACAAAGCAUGCAAUGGUCUGUACAAAGGGACCCCAAGUCGCGAGGUGGAGCUAGUCCCCUAAACCGAAUAGUAGUCCGGAUCUCAGUCGGCAACUAGUCGGGUAGAAGUAAGAACCGUUAGUAUUGGUGAAUAAGAAUGACGCGGGGAACAAGUU